rnacentral:rRNA from 1 species
GACGAACGCUGGCGGCGUGCUUAACACAUGCAAGUCGAACGGAAAGGCCCUGCUUUUGUGGGGUGCUCGAGUGGCGAACGGGUGAGUAACACGUGAGUAACCUGCCCUUGACUUUGGGAUAACUUCAGGAAACUGGGGCUAAUACCGGAUAGGAGCUCCUGCUGCAUGGUGGGGGUUGGAAAGUUUCGGCGGUUGGGGAUGGACUCGCGGCUUAUCAGCUUGGUGGUGGGGUAGUGGCUUACCAAGGCUUUGACGGGUAGCCGGCCUGAGAGGGUGACCGGCCACAUUGGGACUGAGAUACGGCCCAGACUCCUACGGGAGGCAGCAGUGGGGAAUAUUGCACAAUGGGCGGAAGCCUGAUGCAGCAACGCCGCGUGCUGGAUGACGGCCUUCGGGUUGUAAACCGCUUUCGCCUGUGACGAAGCGUGAGUGACGGUAAUGGGUAAAGAAGCACCGGCUAACUACGUG